CAUGUCUUUUUGUUUAUAAUUUAAGGUUUAAUCUGCUCAAUGAAUGUUUAAAUUGCCGCAGUAUUUUGACUGUGCAAAGGUAGCAUAAUAAUUAGUUUUUUUAUUGGAAGCUGGAAUGAAUGAUUGGACGAGAAAGUUACUGUCUCUUUGUUAUUUUUUUUUGAAUUUUACUUUUAAGUAAAAAGGCUUAAAUAAUUUUAAAAGACGAGAAGACCCUAUAGAGUUUAAUUUUUUAAUAUUAUUAUUGUUUAAUAGAAUUUUAUUAUUUUAUUUUAUUAAAAAAUUUUGUUGGGGUGACUGGAAGAUUAAUUAAACUCUUCUAAUUUUUAUCAUAGAUUUAUGAAUUGUUAAUCUAUAUUUUAUAAUUAUAAGUUAAAUUACCUUAGGGAUAACAGCGUAAUUUUUUUAUAAAGUUCUUAUUUAUAAAUAAGUUUGCGACCUCGAUGUUGGAUUAAAAAUUGAUUUGGGUGAAGAAGUUCAAAUUUCUAAGUCUGUUCGACUUUUAAAAUUUUACAUGAUCUGAGU
rnacentral:rRNA from 1 species